GUGUUCAUUUCAGCAGCACAUAUACUAAAAUUGGAACGAUACAGAGAUUAGCAUGGCCCCUGUGCAAGGACGACACGCAAAUUCAUGAAGCAUUCCAUAUUAAA